rnacentral:rRNA from 1 species
GAUGAACGCUAGCGGCAGGCCUAACACAUGCAAGUCGAGGGGUAACAGGGUAGCAAUAUCGCUGACGACCGGCGCACGGGUGAGUAACACGUAUGCAACCUUCCUUUAACUGGGGCAUAGCCCGGAGAAGUUCGGAUUAAUACCCCAUGACAUCAUAGAAAGGCAUCUUUCAGUGAUUAAAGCUCCGGCGGUUAAAGAUGGGCAUGCGUACCAUUAGCUAGUUGGUGAGGUAAUUGCUCACCAAGGCUACGAUGGUUAGGGGGUCUGAGAGGAUGAUCCCCCACACUGGUACUGAGACAUGGACCAGACUCCUACGGGAGGCAGCAGUGAGGAAUAUUGGGUAAUGGGCGCAAGCCUGACCCAGCCAUGCCGCGUGAAGGUAGAAGGCCCUAUGGGUUGUAAACUUCUUUUAUACGGGAAGAAACUUCCGAACGUGUUCGGGAUUGACUGUACCGUAGGAAUAAGCAUCGGCUAACUCCGUGCCAGCCGCCGCUGUAACAC